rnacentral:rRNA from 1 species
UACGUAGGGUGCGAGCGUUGUCCGGAAUUAUUGGGCGUAAAGAGCUCGUAGGUGGUUUGUCGCGUUGUUCGUGAAAACUCACAGCUCAACUGUGGGCGUGCGGGCGAUACGGGCAGACUGGAGUACUGCAGGGGAGACUGGAAUUCCUGGUGUAGCGGUGAAAUGCGCAGAUAUCAGGAGGAACACCGGUGGCGAAGGCGGGUCUCUGGGCCGAUACUGACGGCUGAGGAGCGGAAAGCCAGGGGAGCAAACGGG